rnacentral:rRNA from 1 species
GACAGAGGGUGCAAACGUUGUUCGGAAUUACUGGGCGUAAAGCGUGCGCAGGCGGUUUUGUAAGACUGUCGUGAAAUCCCCGGGCUUAACCUGGGAAUGGCGAUGGUGACUGCAAGGCUAGAGUUUGGCAGAGGGGGGUAGAAUUCCACGUGUAGCAGUGAAAUGCGUAGAGAUGUGGAGGAACACCGAUGGCGAAGGCAGCCCCCUGGGUCAAGACUGACGCUCAUGCACGAAAGCGUGGGGAGCAAACAGG